CCAGAGGACAGCUGCUGCUGCUGGUGGUGGUGUAGCUGUAGCUGCUGUAGCUGCUGGUGGUGAUGAUGAUGUCUCUCCUAUGGAGGUGGACCCUCCAGAGACUAUUCAAAGCCAGGACCAGGAGGAACCGAUGGACUGGGAACCUGCAGGGACUCUGAGUUCACCCUCAGCCAGCUCCUCCCUUUACAACCACAUAUCGAUGUCGAUCAGUGUCGGUGAAACUGUGACAGUUGCACUCAGAAUCCCUGCAGAUAAGAGACA